CCUACGGGAGGCAGCAGUAGGGAAUUUUCGUCAAUGGGCGCAAGCCUGAACGAGCGAUGCCGCGUGAGUGAAGAAGGCCUUCGGGUCGUAAAGCGCUGUUGCGGGGGAAAAAAGGCAGCAAUAGGAAAUGGGUGCUGACUGAAGGUGCCUCGUCAGAAAGCUACGGCUAACUACGUGCCAGCAGCCGCGGUAAUACGUAGGGGGCGAGCGUUAGCCGGAAUGAUGGGGCGUAAAGGGUGCGCAGGCGGUCCUGCAAGUCUGGAGUGAAACGCAUGAGCUCAACUCAUGUAUGGCUUUGGAAACUGGAGAACUGGAGAGCAGGAGAGGGCAGUGGAACUCCAGGUGUAGCGGUGAAAUGCGUAGAUAUAUGGAAGAACACCAGUGGCGAAGGCGGCCGCCUGGCCUGUUGCUGACGCUGAGGCACGAAAGCGUGGGGAGCAAAUAGGAUUAGAUACCCCAGUAGUC
rnacentral:rRNA from 1 species